AAGUUUCGAAUCCCGCAAAUGGUAUCGGAAACUCUGGGCUUUGGACAGAAGCAUGAUGCUACAGUGGAUAUACCACUGGAUACGAUGAAUGAUCCGAAGAAGAAGGAGAGAGAGCUUGCGGCUUGGGAAGCAGAACUUAAUAGGAAAGAAAAGGAAAUAAAAAAGAGGGAAGAAGCUGUUUCUAAAGCUGGUGUCCCUGCUGAUGAUAGAAACUGGCCUCCAUUUUUCCCCAUUAUUCAUCAUGAUAUAGCUAAUGAAAUACCAGUACAUGCUCAGAAGUUGCAGUACUUGGCUUUUGCUAGUUGGCUAGGUAUAGUUUUGUGCUUGGUCUUCAAUGUUAUUGCUAUAACUGUCUGCUGGAUAAGAGGCGGGGGAGUCAAAAUUUU
rnacentral:misc_RNA from 1 species